rnacentral:rRNA from 1 species
GACGAACGCUGGCGGCGUGCUUAACACAUGCAAGUCGAGCGGAAGGGCCCUUUCGGGGGUACUCGAGCGGCGAACGGGUGAGUAACACGUGAGUAAUCUGCCCUUGGCUUUGGGAUAACCACCGGAAACGGUGGCUAAUACCGGAUAUGACGGGCUCCGGCAUCGGGGUUCGUGGAAAGUUUUUUCGGCCAGGGAUGUGCUCGCGGCCUAUCAGCUUGUUGGUGGGGUAAUGGCCUACCAAGGCUUCGACGGGUAGCCGGCCUGAGAGGGUGACCGGCCACACUGGGACUGAGACACGGCCCAGACUCCUACGGGAGGCAGCAGUGGGGAAUAUUGGACAAUGGGCGGAAGCCUGAUCCAGCAACGCCGCGUGAGGGAUGACGGCCU